rnacentral:rRNA from 1 species
UACGUAGGGGGCUAGCGUUGUCCGGAUUUAUUGGGCGUAAAGAGCGUGUAGGCGGCCAGGUAGGUCUGCUGUGAAACUCGAGGCUCAACCUCGAGAUGUCGGCGGAAACCAUCUGGCUAGAGUCCGGAAGAGGAAAGUGGAAUUCCUGGGUGUAGCGGUGAAAUGCGCAGAUAUCAGGAAGAACACCCGUGGCGAAGGCGGCUUUCUGGGACGGUACUGACGCUGAGACGCGAAAGCGUGGGGAGCGAACAGG